rnacentral:lncRNA from 1 species
AAGAAAUGAGAAGAUUGAUAGGUUAUUAGUUUUCUGUUUUGCUAAAUUUUUGUAUAUUUUAUCAAAAUGAGAAGAUGUAGUGUUUAUAGUGUUCUUGUGUUGCUAAAUUUGUAUAUUGUUAUCAAGAAAUGAGAAGAUUGAAUAGUGUUAUUAGUGUUCUUGUUUGCUAAAUUUUGUAUAUUGUUAUCGAAGAAAUGAGAAGAUUGAUAGUGUUAUAGUGUUCUUGUUUUGCUAAAUUUUGUAUAUUGUUAUCAAGAAUGAGAAGAUGAUAGUGUUUAUUAGUGUUCUUUUUUGCUAAUUUUGUAUAUUUUUAUCAAGAAAUGAGAAGAUUGAUAGUGUUAUUAUGUUCUUGUUUGCUAAAUUUGUAUUAUUAUUAUCAAGAAAUGAGAAGAUUGUAGUGUUAUUAGUGUUCUGUUCUAAAUUUUGUAUAUUGUUAUCAAGACAAUGAGAAGAUUGAUAGUGUUAUUAGUGUUCUUGUUUUGGCAAAAUUUUGUAUAUUGUUAUCAGAAAUGAGGAUUGAUAGUGUUAUUAGUGUUCUUGCUUUUUGCUAAAUUUUGUAUAUUGUUAUCAAAGAAAUGAGAAGAUUGAUAGUGUUAUUAGGUCUUGUUUUGCUAAAUUUUGUAUAUUGUUAUCAAGAAAUGAGAAGAUUGAUAGUGUUAUUAGUGUUCUUGUUUUGCUAAAUUUUGUAUAUUGUUAUCAAGAAAUGAGAGAUUGAUAGUUAUUAGUGUUCUUGUUUUGCUAAAUUUUUAUAUUGUUAUAAAGAAAUGAAGAAGAUUGAUAGUGUUAUUAGUUCUUGUUUUGCUAAAUUUUGUAUAUUGUUUAUCAGAAAUGAGAGAUUGAUAGUGUUAUUAGUUUUCUGUUUGCUAAAUUUGUAUAUGUUAUCAAGAAAUGAGAAGAUGAUAGUGUUAUGUAGUUUCUUGUUUUGCUAAUUUUGUAUAUUGUUAUCAAGAAAUGAGAGAUUGGAUAGUUUUUAUUAGUGUUCUUGUUUUGCUAAAUUUGUAUAUUGUUAUCAAGAAAAUGAGAAGAUUGAUAGUGUUAUUAGUGUUCUUGUUUUGCUAAAUUUUGUAUAUUUGUUAUCAAGAAAUGAGAAGAUUGAUAGUGUUAUUGUUCUGUUUUGCUAAAUUUUGUAUAUGUUAGUCAGAAAUUGAGAAGAUUGAUAGUGUUAUUAGUGUUCCUUGUUUUGCUAAAUUUGUAUUUGUUUAUCAAGAAAUGAGAAGAUUGAUAGUGUUAUUAGUGUUCUGUUUUGCUAAAUAUUUGUAUAUUGUAUCUAAGAAAUGAGAAGAUUGAUAGUGUAUUAGUGUCUUGUUUUGCUAAAUUUUGUAUAUUGUUAUCAAAAUGAGAAGGUUGAUAGUGUUAUUAGUGUUCUGUUUUGCUAAAUUUGUAUAUUGUUAUCAAGAAAUGAGAAGAUUGAUGUGUUAUUAGUGUUCUUGUUUGCUAAUUAUGUAUAUGUUAUCAGAAUGUUAUGUUUUAUGCUUGUUGUAAAUUGAUAUGAUCAGAAGAGAAGUUGAUAGUUUAUAGUUCGUCUGUUUGCUAUUUUGUAUAUGUUAUCUAGAAAUGAGAAUGAUUGAUAGUUUAUUAGUCCUUGUUUGCUAAAUAUUGGUAUAUUGUUACAGAAAUGAAAGAUUGAAUGUUAUUAGUGUUCUUGUUUGCUAAAUAGUGUAUAUUUAUCAAGAAAUGAGAAGAUUGAUAGUGUUAUUAGUGUUUUGUUUGCUAAAUUUUGUAUAUUGUUAUCAAAAGAAUGAGAAGAUUGAUGUGUAUUAGUGUUCUUGUUUGCUAAAUUGUAUUGUUAUAAAUGAAAAUUGAAGUGUAUUAGUGUUCUUGUUUGCUAAAUUUUUGUUAUAUUGUUAUCAAGAAAUGAGAAGAUUGAUAGUGUUAUUGUGUUACUUGUUUUGCUAAAUUUUGUAUAUUGUUAUCAAGAAAUGAGAAGAUUGAAGUGUUAUUAGUGUUCUUGUUUUGCUAAUUUUGUAUAUUGUUAUCAAGAAAUGAGAAGAUGAUAGUGUUAUAAGUGUUCUUGUUUUUGCUAAAUUUGUAUAUUGUUGUCAAGAAAUCAGAAGAUGAACGAUGUUUAUUAGUGGUUCUUGUUUGCUAAAUUUUUUAUAUUGUUAUCAAGAAAUGAAGAAGACUCUGAUAGUAGUUAUUAGUCCGUUCUUGUUUUGCUAAAUGUUUUGUAUAUUUUAUCAAACAGAAUGAGAAGAGUUGAAAUAGUGUUAUUAGUGUUCUUUUUUGUAAAUUUGUAUAUUGUUAUCAAGAAAUGAGAAGAUUGAUAGUGUUAUUAGUGUUCUUGUUUUGCUAAAUUUUGUAUAUUGUUAUCAAGAAAUGAGAAGAUUGAUAGUUGGUAUAUAGUGUUCUUGUUUUCUCCAAAAUUUUUGUAUACUUGUUAUCAAGAAAUGAGAAGAUUGAUAGUGUUUUAUACUGUUCUUGUUUGGGGCGAAUUUUGUAUAUUGUGUAUCACAAGAAAUGAGUAAGAUUGAUUAGUGUUAUUAGGUUUUCUUGUUUUGGCUAAUAUUUGUUUAUUGUGUAUCAAGAAAUUGAGAAGAUUGAUAGUGUUAUUAGUGGUUUUGUUUUGCUAAAUUUUGUAUAUUGUUAUCAAAGAAUGAAGAGAUUGAUGUGUUAUUAGUGUUUGUUUUGCAAAGUUUGUAAUUUUUAUCAAAAAUGAGAAGAUCUGAGUAGGGUUAUAUGUCUUGUUUUGCUAAGUUCUAUAGUAUUGUUAGUCAAAGAAAUGAGAAGAUGAAUAGGGUUAUUAGUAUUCUGUUUUUGCUAAAUUGUAUAUUGUUAUUAGAAAUGAGAAUGAACUAGUGUUAAUUUGUCUUGUUUUGCUAAAUUUUGUAUAUGUUAUCAAGAAAUGAGAAGAUUGAUAGUGUUUAUAGUGUUCUUGUUUUGCAAAUUUGUAUAUUGUUAUCAGAAUGAGAAAUUGAUAGUGUUAUUAGUGUUUGUUUUGCUAAAUUUUGUAUAUUUUAUCAAGAAAUGAGAUAGUGAAAGUGUUUUAUUUUUUUUUUGCAAAAUUUUGUAUAUUGUUAUCAAGAAUGAGAAGAUUGUAGUGGUUAUUAGUGUUCUUGUUGCUAAAUUUUGUAUAUUGUUAUCAAGAAAUGAGAAGAUUGAUAGUUUAUUAGUGUUCUUGUUUUGACCUAAAUUUUGUAAUAUUGUUAUUCAGAAAUGAGAAAUUGAUUAGUGUUAUUAGUGUUCGUUGUUUUGCUAAAUAUUGUAUAUUGUUAUCAAGAAUGAGAAAUUGAUAGUGUUAUUAGUGUUCUUGUUUUGCUAUAAUUUUGUAUAUUGUUUCAGAAUGAGAAUAGUUGAUAGUGUAUUAAUUUUGAUGUUCUUGUUGUGCUAAUAUUGUCUAUUGUUAUCAGAAAUGAGAAGCUGUAGUGUUAUUCGUGGUCUUGUUUUGCUAAUUUUGUAUAUUGUUCUAAGAAAAUGAGAAGAUUUGAUAGUUGUUUAUUAGUUGUUCUUUUUUGCUAAAUUUUGUAUUGUUAUCAGAAAUGAGAAGAUUGAUAGUGUUAUUAGUGUUUGUUUUGCUAAAUUUUGUAUAUUGUUAUCAAGAAAUAGAAAUUGGUAGUGUUAUUAGUGUCUUGUUUUGCUAAAUUUUGUAUAUUGUUAUCAAGAAAUGAGAAGAUUGAUAGUGUUUAGUGUUCUUGUUUUGCUAAAUUUUGUAUAUUGUUAUAGAAAUGAAAUUGAAAGUGUUAUUAGUGUUCUUUGUUUUGUAAAUUUGUGUAUUGGUUUAUCAAGAAUAGAGAAGAUUGAUAGUGUUAGUAGUGUUCUUGUUUGCUGAAUAUUGUAUAUUGUUAUCAAGAAAUGGAGGAUUGAAAGAUGUUAUUAGGUCUGUGCUUGGUUUUGCUGAAAUUUUGUAUAUUGUUAGCAAGAAAUGAGAAGAUGAUAGUAUUCAUUAAGUGUUCUUGUUUUGCUAAAUUUGUAUAUUGUUAUCAAGAAAUGAAAGAUUGCUAGUGGUUAUUAGUGUUCGUUUUUUCUAAAAUUUUGUAUAUUUUUAUCAAGAAAUGAGAAGAUGAUAGUGUUAUUAAUGUUCUUGUUUGCUAAAUUUUGUAGUAUAAUUAUCAAGAAUAUGAGGCAAGAUUGAGUAGUGUUUAUAGUGUUUUGUUGGGUUACUAAAUUUGUUCUUGUUAAAAAAAAUAGAAGAUUGAUAGUGUUAUUACUGUUCUGUGUUUUGCAAAAUUUUGUAUAUUGUUUCAAAGAAAUGAGUAGCCUUGAUAGUGUUAUUAGUUUCUGUUUUGCUAAAUUUGUAUAUUGUUUAUCAAGAAAUGAGAAGAUUGAUAGUGUUUUAGGUGUCUUGUUUUGCUAAAUUUGUAUAUUGUUACAAGAAAUGAGAAGAUGAUAGUUUAUUUAGUGUUAUUGUUUUGCUAAAUUUGUAUAUUGUUAUCAAAGAAAAUAAGAAGAUUGAUAGUGUUAUUAGUGUUUCUUGUUUCUAAAUCUAUAUAGUUGUUAUCAAGGAAAUGAGAAAUGAUAGGGUUAUGAGUAUUGCGAGUGUUUUGCUAAUUUGUAUAUUGUAUCCCAGAAAUGAAAGAUUGAUAGUGGUUUAAUUAGUGGUUCAUUGUUUGACCCUAAUUGUGUAUUAUUGUUAUCAGAAAUGAGAGAUUGAUCGUGUUAUUAGUCCUUCUUGUUUUGCUAAAUUUUGUAUAUUGUUAUCAAGAAAUGAGAAGAUUGCAUAGUUUUUAAUUAGUGUUCUUAGUUUGCUAAAUUUUGGUAUAUGUUAUCAAGAAAUGAGAAGAAUUGAUAGUGUUAUUAGUGUAUUUUUUGCAAAAUUUGUAUAUUUUUAUCAAGAAAUGGAGAAGAUUGUUAGUGUUAUGAACUGUCCUUGGUUUUGCCUAAAUUUUGUAAUAUUGUUAUCAGGACAUGAGAAGAUUGAUAAGUGUUAUCAGUGUCUUGUUUUCCUAAAUUUGUAUAUUGUUAUCCAGGAAAUGAGAAAGAUUGAUAGUGUUAUUAGUGUUUUCUUGUUUUGCUAAAUAUUGUAUAUGUUAUCAAGAAAUGAGAAGCUUGAUAGUGUUGAUGUAGUCGUCUUGUUUUGCUAAUUGUGUAUAUUUUAUUCAAGAAAGAGAAGGUUGAUAGUGUUAUUAGUGUUCUUGUUUGUAAAUAUUGUAAUUGUGUUACGAGAAAUGAGGAAGAUUGAUAGUGUUAGUAGGUUUGUUUUGCUAAAUGUCAUGUAAAGGUUGUUAUCAAAGAAAGUGAGAAGAGAUAUUGUUAUUUAGUGUUCUUGUUUUGCUAAAGUUUUGUAUAUUGUUUAUCAGAAAUGAGAAAGAUUGAUAGUGUUAUUAGUGUUCUUGUUGCUAAAUUGUAUAUUGUUAUAAGAAAUGAAAGAUUGGGUAGUGUUCAUUAAGUUGUUCUUGUUUGCUAAAUUUUGUUUGAUUGUUAUCAAGAAAUGAGAAGAUUGAUAGGUUAUUAGUGUUCUUGUUUUGCUGAAAUUUUGUAUAUUUUGUCAAGAAAUUUAGAAUAUUGAACGUGUUAUUAGUGUUCUUGUUUUUUGCUAAAUUUUGUAUAUUGUUCUCAAGAAAAGAGAAGAUUGAUAGUGUUAUAGUGUCUUGUUUUUCUAAUAUGUUAUAAUGUUAUCAAGAAAUGAGAGAUGAAGUAUGUUAUUAGUUUUCUUGUUUUGCUAAAUUUUUGAUUGUUACAGAAUGAGAAGAUUGAAUAGUUUAUUAGUUUCUUGUUUUGGCUAAAUUUGUAUAUUGUUAUCAAGAAAUGAGAAGAUUGAUGUGUAAUAGUGUUCUUUUUUCUAAAUUUUGUAUAUUUAUCAAGAAAUGAGAAGAUUGAUAGUGUUAUUAGUGUUCUUGUUUUGUAAAUUUUGUAUAUAUUCAAGAAUGAGAAGAGUUGAUAGUGUUAUUAGUGUUCUUUGUUUUCUAAAUGUUUAUAUGUUAUCAAGAAAUGAGAAGAUUGAUAGUGUUUACUGUUCUUGUUUUGCAAUUUUGUAUAUUUGUUAUCAAGAAAUGAGAGAUUGAUAGUGUGAUUAGUGUUCUUGUUUGCUAAAUUUGUAUAAUUGUUAUCAAGAAAAUGAGAAGAUUGAUUAGUGUUAUUAGUGUUCUUGUUUUGCUAAAUUUGUAUAUUGUUAUCAAGAAAUGAGACGAUGAUAUGUUAUUAGUGUAUUAGGUUUUGCAAAUUUUUAUAUUGUAUCAAGAAAUAAGAUGAUGUGUAUUAGUGUUCUUGUUUUUGCUAAAUUUGUAUAUUGUUAUCAAAAAUGAGAAGAUUGAUAGUGUUAUUAGUUUCGUUUGCUAAAUUUUGUAUAUUGUUAUCAGAAAUGAGAAGAUUGAUAGUGUUAUUAGUGUUCUUGUUUUGCUAAAUUUUGUAUAUUGUUAUCAAGAAAAUGAGAAGAUUGAUAGUGUUAUUAGUCUUCUUGUUUUGCUAAAUUGUAUAUUAGUUAUCAAGAAAUGAGAAAUUGAUAUAGUUUUAUAGUGUCUUUGUUUGCUAAAUUUUGUAUAUUGUUAUCAAGAAUGAGAAGGAUUGAUAUAGUUUAUUAGUGUUUAUGUUUUGCAUAAAUUUGUAUUGUUAUCAAGAACUGAGUAAGAUGAUAGGUUAUGAUUUGUUCUUAGUUUGCUCUAACAUUUUGUAUAUGUUAUCAAAGAAAUGGAAGAUUGAUAGUGUUAUUAGUGUUCUUGUUUGCUAAAUUUUGUAUAUUGUUAUUCAAAGAAAUGAGAACGAUCUGAUAGUGUAUAUUACGGUUCGGGUGUGUUUUGCUAAUAUUGUAUAUUGUUAUCAAGAAAUGAGUAGAUUGAUAGUGUUAUUAGUUUCUUGUUUGCUAAAAUUUGUAAUAUUGUUAUCAAGAAAUGAGAAGAUUGAUAGUUUAUUAGUGUUUUUUUUUCUAAAUUUUGUAUUUUUUUCAAGAAAUGAGAAGUUGAUAGUGUAUUAGUGUUCGUUGUUUGCUAAAUUUGUAUAUUGUUAUCAAAAAUGAGAAGAUUGAUAGUGUUAUUAGUUUCUUGUUUUGCUAAAUUUUGUAUAUUGUUAUCAAGAAAUAGAAAAUUGAUAGUGUUAUUAGUGUUCUUUUUGCUAAAUUUUGUAUUGUUAUAAGAAAUGAGAAGUUGAUAGUGUUAUGAGUCGUCUGUUUGCUAAAUUUUGUAUAUGUUAUCAGAAAAGAAGUUGAUAGUGUUUAGUGUCUUGUUUGCUAAUUAUUGUAUAUUUAUCAAGAAAUGAGAAGAUUGAUAGUGUUAUUAGUGUUCUUGUUUUGCUAAAUUUGUAUAUUGUUAAUCAAAAAUGAGAAGAUUGAUAUUGUUUAGUGUUUCUUGUUUGCUAAUUUUGUAUAUUGUUAUCAAGAAAUGAGAAGAUUGAAGUGUUAUUAGUGUUCUUUGUUUUGCCUAAAUUUUGUAUAUUGUUAUCAAGAAAUGAGAAGAUUGUAGUGUUAUUAGUGUCUUGUUUUGCUAAAUUUUGUAUAUUGUUAUCAAGAAAUGAGAAGAUUGAUAGUGUAUUAGUGUCUUGUUGCUAAAUUUUGUAUAUUGUUAUCAAGAAAUAGAGAUUGAUAGUGUUAUUAGUGUUCUUGUUUUGCUAAAUUUGUAUAUUGUUAUCAAGAAAUGAGAAGAUUGAUAGUGUUAUUAGUGUUCUUGUUUUGCUAAUUUUGUAAUUGUUAUCAAGAAAUGAGAAGAUUGAUAGUGUAUUAGUGUUCUUGUUUUGCUAAAUUUUGUAUAUUGUUAUCAAGAAAUGAGAAGUUGAUAGUGUUAUUAGUGUUCUUGUUUUGCUAAUAUUUGUAUAUGUUAUCAAGAAAUGAGAAGAUUGAUAGUGUUAUUAGUGUUCUUUUUGCUAAUUUGUAUAUGUUAUCAAGAAAUGAGAAGAUUGAUAGUGUUAUUAUGUUCUUUUUGCUAAAUUUUGUAUAUUGUCUAUCAAGAAAUGAGAAGAUAAUAGUGUAUUAGUGUUCUGUUUUGCUAAUUUUUGUAAAUUUAUUAUCAAGAAUGAGAAGAUUGAUAGUGUUAUAGUGUUCUUGUUUUGCUAAAUUUGUAUAUUGUUAUCAAGAAAUGAGAAGAUUGAUAGUGUUAUUUGUGUUUGUUUGCUAAAUUUUGUAUAUUGUUAUCAAGAAAUGAGAAGUUGAUAGUGUUAUUAGUGUUCUUGUUUGCUAAAGUUUGUAUAUUGUAAUCAAGAAAUGGAGAAGAUUGAUAGUUUAUUAGUGUUCUUGUUUUGUAAUUUUGUAUUUGUUAUCAAGAAUGAGAAGAUUGAUGUGUUAUUAUGUUCUUGUUUUGCUAAUUUUGUAUAUUGUUAUCAAGAAAUGAAGAAGAUUGAUAGUGUUAUUAUGUUCUUGUUUGCUAAUUUUUUAUAUUGUUAUCAAGAAAUGAGAAAUGAUAGUGUUAUUAGUGUUCUGUUUGCUAAAUUUGUAUAUUGUUAUCAAGAAAUAGAAUAUUAGUGUUAUUAGUGUCUUUGUUUUUGCUAAAUUUUGUUAUAUUGUUAUCAGAAAUGAGAAGAUUGAUUGUUAUUAGUGUUCUUGUUUUGCUAAAUUUGUAUAUUGUUAUCAAGAAAUUGAGAGAUUGAUAGUGUUAUUAGUGUUUUUGUUUUGCUAAAUUUUGUAUUUGUUAUCAAGAAUGAGAAGAUUGAUAGUGUUAUUAGUGUUCUUGUUUUGCUAAAUUUUGUAUAUUGCUUAUCAAGAAAUGAGAAGAUUGAUAGUGUUAUUAGUCUUCUUUGUUUUGCUAAAUUUUGUAUAUUGUUAUCAAGAAAUGCAGAAGAUUGGUUUAGUGUUAUAGUGUUCUUGAUUUGCUAAAUUUUGUUAUAUUGUUAUCAAGAAAUGAGAAGAUAUGAUUUAGUUGUUAUUAGUGUUCUUCGUUAUGCAUAAUCUAAUCUCGUAUAUUGUUAUCAAGAAAUUGAGAAGAUUUGAUAGGGCUGUUAUUAAGUUCUUGUUUUGCCUAAAGUUUUGUAUAGUUGUUAUCAGAGAAUGAGAAGAUUUGAUAGUGUUAUUAGUGUGUCUUGUUUUGCUAAUAUGUUAUAUGUAUCAAUGUAAGUGAUAUUUAUAUUCUUCAUAUUUUAAUUUAAGAAAUGAGAAGGAUUGAUAGUGUUAUUAGGUUCUUUUUUGGCUAAAUUUGUAUAUUGUUCAAGAAAGGAGAAAUGAGAGUUAAGUGUUAUAGUGUUCGUUGUUUGCUAAAAUAUUGUUUAUAUUAUCAAGAAUGAGAAGAUGAUAGUGUUAUUAGUGUUCUUUUUGUUUAUGAAGCUAAAUUUUGACCUGACUUAGAUUUCUGAAAAUUGAAACAUUGGAUGGGAUAUUAUGCGCGUUCUGUUUCUCAAAAUGUUUGCUAUCUGAGAUACAACCAACAUAGCAUGAGACGUUCGAUAUUUGAUUAUGAUGGCUUCAAGUGCUUUUCUACACCUGUACUGCCGUUGUAUCAAAAUGUUGAUAUUUGUGCGUACGUGCUUUUUGUACAUUGUAAAAGAGGGAAGUUGAUAAGUGUUAUUUCUUGGUUUCUUGUUUGCAUAACUUAUAUGUUAUAUUGUUAUCAAGAGAAAUGGUAGAUUGAUAGGUGUUAUUAUUGUGUUUGUUUUGGCUAUAAUUUUGUAUAUUAAUUAUUCAAGAAAUGAGAAGAUUGAUAGUGUUAUUACGUUUCUUCUUGUUGUAAAAUGUUUGUAUUUGACUAUCAAGAAAUGAGAAGGAUUGAUGAGUGUAUUAGUUAUGUUCUUGUUUGUUCUUAAAUUUUGAUAUUGUUAUCGAUGAGAAAAUGUUAGAAGAUUGAUAGUGUUAUUAGUUUUCUUGUUUUUAAUCAAAUAAAUUUGCUAUAUUGUUCAUCAAGAAUAGAACGUAUAGUGUUAUACGCUGUCUUUGCAUUCUAACUUAAAAUGGUAAUAUUCGUCACUCAAGAGGGAAUGCAGAUUCGAUGUGUUUUAGAUGUUCUGUUUCUGUAAAUUUGUAUAUUGUUAUCAAGAACAUGAGAAGAUUGAGGUAGUGUUAUUAGUUAUGUUCUUUUUCUAAAUUUGUAUAUUGUUAUCAAGAAAUGAGAGAUUGAUAGUGUUAUUAGUUUCUUUUUUGCUAAUUUUGUAUAUUGUUAUCAAGAAAUGAGAAGAUUGAUAGUGGUUAUUAGUGUUCUUGUUUUGCUAAAUUUGUAUAUGUUAUCAAGAAUGAAGAAGAUUGAUAGUGUUAUUAGUCUUCUUGUUUUGCUAAAUUUUUGUAUAUUGUAUCAAGAAAUGAGAAGAUUGAUAGUGUAUUAGUGUUCUUGUUUGCCUAAAUUUUGUAUAUUGAUAUCAAGAAAUGGAGUAUUGAUACGUGUUAUUAGUGUUCUUGUUUUGCUAAAUUUUUUAUAUUGUUACAAGAAAUGAGAGAUUGAUAGUGUUAUUGUGUUCUUUUGCUAAAUUUUGUAUAUUGUUAUCAAGAAAUGAGAAGAUGAUAGUGUUAUUAGUGUUCUUGUUUUCUAAUUUGUAUUAUUGUAUCAAGAAAUGAGAAGAUUGAUAGUGUUAUUAGUGUUCUUGUUUGAAAUUUUGUAUAUUGGUUAUCAAGAAAUGAGAAGAUUGUAUGAUUAGUGUUCUUGUUCUCAGUAAAAUUUUGGUUAUGUAUAUCAAGAAAUUGAGAAGGCAUGGAAUAGUGUUAUUAUGGUCUUAGGCCUAAAUUUGUAUAUGAUCAAGACAAUUAGGACAUUGAUGCAUGAGUGUUCAUUUCGGCUUUCCUUUGCAUAGAACUUUCCGUAGUCUUGUCUGUAUCAAGAAUGAGCAAAGGAUGAUAGUGUUUUAUUAUUUCUUGUUUUGCUAGUAUGUAUAUUGUUAUCAAGAAAUGAGAGGAUUGAUAGUGCUAUUAGUGGUUCUUGUUUUGCUAAAUUUUGUAUUAGUUAUCAAGAAAUGAGAAGAUUGAUAGUGUUAUUAUGUUUCUUGUUUGCUAAAUUUUGUGUAUAUUGUUAUCAAGAAAUAGAAGGUUAUUGAUAGUGUUAUAGUGUUCUUUGUUUUGCUAAUUUUGUAUUGUUAUCAAGAAAUGAGAGAAGUGAUUAGUGUUAUUAGUGUUUCUUGUUUUGCUGAAAUUUAGUAUUAUUUGUUUAUUCAAGAAACUGAGAGAUUGAUAGUGUUAUUUAGUGUUCAUUGUUUUGCUAAAAUUUGUAUCAUUGUUAUCAAGAAAUGAGAAGAUUUGAUAGUGUUUUAGUGUUCUUGUUUUGCUAAUUUUGUAUUUGUUAUACAAGAAAUGAGAAGGAUUGAUAUUGUUUAUUAGUUCUUGUUUUGCUAAAUUUUGGUAUAUUUUAUCAAGAAAUGAGGAAGAUUGUAGUGUUAUUAGUGUUCUUGUUUUGCUAAAUUUGUUUAUAUUGUUAUCAAAGAAUGAGAAGAUGAUAGGUUUAUUAGUGUUCUUGUUUGCUAAAUUUGUAUAUUGUUAUAUAACAAAGAGAAGAUUGAUAGUGUUAUUAGUGUUUCUUGUUUUUGCUUUUAAAAUUUUGUUAUUUCUUGUUAUUCAAGGAAAUGAGAAGAUUUGAUAAGUGUUAUUAGUUGUUUCUUGUUUCUAAAUUUUGUUUAUGUUAUCAAUUUUGUAUAUUAUUAUCAAGAAAUGAGAAGAUUGAUAGUGUUAUUAGUGUUCUUGUUUUGCUAAAUUUUGUAAAUUGUUAUCAAGAAAUGAGAAGAUUGAUAGUGUUAUUAGUGUUCUUGUUUUGAAAAAUUUUGUAUAUUGUUAUCAAGAAAUGAGAAGAUUGAUAGUGUUAUUAGUGUUCUUGUUUUACUAAAUUUUGUAUAUUGUUAUCAAGAAAUGAGAAGAUUGAUCGUGUUAUUAGUGUUCUUGUUUUGCUAAAUUUUGUAUAUUGUUAUCAAGAAAUGAGAAGAUUGAUAGUGUUAUUAGUGUUCUUGUUUUGCUAAAAAUUUUAUAUUGUUAUCAAGAAAUAAGAAGAUUGAUAGUGUUAUUUGUGUUCUUGUUUUGCUAAAUUUUGUAUAUUGUUAUCAAGAAAUGAGAAGAUUGAUAGUGUGAUUAGUGUUCUUGUUUUGGUAAAUUUUGAAUAUUGUUAUCAAGAAAUGAUAAGGUUGAUAGUGUUAUUAGUGUUCUUGUUUUGCUAAAUAUUGAAUAUUGUUAUCAAGAAAUGAGAAGAUUGAUAGUGUUAUUAGUGUUCUUGUUAUCAAGAAACGAAUUUUGUAUAUUGUUAUCGAGAAAUGAGAAGAUUGAUAUUUUAUAGUGUUCUUGUUUGCUAAAUUUUGUAUAUUGUUAAUCAAGAAUGAAAGAUGAUAGUGUUUAUUAAGUGUUCUUUUUUUUCUAAUUUUGUAUAUUUUUAUCAAGAAAUGAGAAGAUGAUAGUGUUAUUAAUGUUCUUGUUGCUAAAUUUGUAUUUUAUUAUCAAGAAAUGAGAAGAUUGCCUAGUGUAUUAAGUGUUCUGUUACUAAAUUUUGUAAUAUUGUUAUCAAGACAAUGAGAAGAAUUGAUAGUGUUAUUAUGUUCUUGUUUUGGCUAAAUUUUGUAUAUUGUUUAUGCAGAAAUGAGUGAUUGAUAGUGUUAUUAGUGUUUCUUGCGUUUUUGCUAAAUUUUGUUUAUUGUUAUCGAAAAAAAUGGGAAAGAAAGAUUUGAUAGAAAUUUAAGUCUUGUUUUCUAAAAAAAGUUUUUAUUUGUUAUCAGAUUAAAGAGAUUGGGAAGUGUUAUUAUUUCUUGUUUUGGCUAAAAUUUUGUAUAUUGUUUCAAGAAAUAGAAGAUUGAUAAGUGUUAUUAGUGUUCUUGUUUUGCUAAAAUUUUGUAUAUUGUUUAUCAAGAAAUGAGAAGAUUGAUAGGUUAUUAGUGUUCUGUUGUUUUUUACUAAUAUUUAGUAUAGUUGUUAUGCAAAAGAAAUGAGAAGAUUGAAGUGUUAUUAGUCUUCUUGUUUUGCUAAUUUGUAUAUUGUUAUCAAGAAAUGAGAAGAUUGAUAGUGUUAUUAGUGUCUCUUGUUUUGCUAAAUUUUGUAUAUUGUUAUUAUCAGAAACUGAGUAAGAUUGAUAGUGUUAUUAUUUCUGUUUUGCUAAUUAAUGUAUAUUGUUAUCAAGAAAUGAGAAGAUUGAUAUUGGUUAUUAGUGUUCUUGUUUGCGAAUUUUGUAUAUUGUUAUUAGAAAUGAGAGAUUGAAAUAGUGCUUAUUUGUGUUCUUGUUUGCUAAUUUUGUAUUAAUUGUUUAUCAAGAAAUGAGAGAUUGAUAGUGUUAUUAGUGUUCUUGUUUUCUAAAUUUUGUAUAUUGUUAAUCAAGAAAUGAGAAGAUUGAUAGUGUUAUUAGUGUUUAUUGUUUUGCUAAAAUUUUGUAUAAUUGUUAUCAAGAAAUAAGAAGAUGAUAGUGUUUAUUAGUGGUUUUCUUGUUUUGCUAAAUUUUUGUAUAUUGUUAUCAAAGAAAUGAGAAAUGAUUUUGGAUAGUGUUUAUUAGUGUUCUUGCUUUUGCCUAAGUUCUUAUAUGAAUUGUUUUAUCAGAAAUGAGAAAGAUUGAACAAGGGUUAAUUAAGUUCAUGUUUUGCUAAAUUUUGUAUAGUUGUUAUCAGAUGAGAAGACUUGAUAGUUGUUAUUAGUGUUCCUUGUUUUGCUAAAUUUUUGAUAUAUUGUUAUCAGAAAUGAAGAAGAUUGUAGUGUUUAUUAGUGUUCUGGUUUUGCUAAAUUUGUUUUAUUGUUUAUCAGAAAUGAGAAAAAGAUUGAUAAGUGUUAUUAGUGUUCUGUUUUGCUAAAUUUUGUAUAUUUUUAUCAAGAAAUGAGAAGAUUGAUAGUGUUAUUAGUGUUCUUGUUUUGCUAAAUUUUGUAUAUUGUUAUCAAGAAAUGAGAAGAUUGAUAGUGUUAUUAGUGUUCUUGUUUUGCUAAAUUUUGUAUAUUGUUAUCAAGAAAUGAGAAGAUUGAUAGUGUUAUUAGUGUUCUUGUUUUGCUAAAUUUUGUAUAUUGUUAUCAAGAAAUGAGAAGAUUGAUAGUGUUAUUAGUGUUCUUGUUUUGCUAAAUUUUGUAUAUUGUUAUCAAGAAAUGAGAAGAUUGAUAGUGUUAUUAGUGUUCUUGUUUUGCUAAAUUUUGUAUAUUGUUAUCAAGAAAUGAGAAGAUUGAUAGUGUUAUUAGUGUUCUUGUUUUGCUAAAUUUUGUAUAUUGUUAUCAAGAAAUGAGAAGAUUGAUAGUGUUAUUAGUGUUCUUGUUUUGCUAAAUUUUGUAUAUUGUUAUCAAGAAAUGAGAAGAUUGAUAGUGUUAUUAGUGUUCUUGUUUUGCUAAAUUUUGUAUAUUGUUAUCAAGAAAUGAGAAGAUUGAUAGUGUUAUUAGUGUUCUUGUUUUGCUAAAUUUUGUAUAUUGUUAUCAAGAAAUGAGAAGAUUGAUAGUGUUAUUAGUGUUCUUGUUUUGCUAAAUUUUGUAUAUUGUUAUCAAGAAAUGAGAAGAUUGAUAGUGUUAUUAGUGUUCUUGUUUUGCUAAAUUUUGUAUAUUGUUAUCAAGAAAUGAGAAGAUUGAUAGUGUUAUUAGUGUUCUUGUUUUGCUAAAUUUUGUAUAUUGUUAUCAAGAAAUGAGAAGAUUGAUAGUGUUAUUAGUGUUCUUGUUUUGCUAAAUUUUGUAUAUUGUUAUCAAGAAAUGAGAAGAUUGAUAGUGUUAUUAGUGUUCUUGUUUUGCUAAAUUUUGUAUAUUGUUAUCAAGAAAUGAGAAGAUUGGUAGUGUUAUUAGUGUUCUUGUUUUGCUAAAUUUUGUAUAUUGUUAUCAAGAAAUGAGAAGAUUGAUAGUGUUAUUAGUGUUCUUGUUUUGCUAAAUUUUGUAUAUUGUUAUCAAGAAAUGAGAAGAUUGAUAGUGUUAUUAGUGUUCUUGUUUUGCUAAAUUUUGUAUAUUGUUAUCAAGAAAUGAGAAGAUUGAUAGUGUUAUUAGUGUUCUUGUUUUGCUAAAUUUUGUAUAUUGUUAUCAAGAAAUGAGAAGAUUGAUAGUGUUAUUAGUGUUCUUGUUUUGCUAAAUUUUGUAUAUUGUUAUCAAGAAAUGAGAAGAUUGAUAGUGUUAUUAGUGUUCUUGUUUUGCUAAAUUUUGUAUAUUGUUAUCAAGAAAUGAGAAGAUUGAUAGUGUUAUUAGUGUUCUUGUUUUGCUAAAUUUUGUAUAUUGUUAUCAAGAAAUGAGAAGAUUGAUAGUGUUAUUAGUGUUCUUGUUUUGCUAAAUUUUGUAUAUUGUUAUCAAGAAAUGAGAAGAUUGAUAGUGUUAUUAGUGUUCUUGUUUUGCUAAAUUUUGUAUAUUGUUAUCAAGAAAUGAGAAGAUUGAUAGUGUUAUUAGUGUUCUUGUUUUGCUAAAUUUUGUAUAUUGUUAUCAAGAAAUGAGAAGAUUGAUAGUGUUAUUAGUGUUCUUGUUUUGCUAAAUUUUGUAUAUUGUUAUCAAGAAAUGAGAAGAUUGAUAGUGUUAUUAGUGUUCUUGUUUUGCUAAAUUUUGUAUAUUGUUAUCAAGAAAUGAGAAGAUUGAUAGUGUUAUUAGUGUUCUUGUUUUGCUAAAUUUUGUAUAUUAUUAUCAAGAAAUAAGAAGAUUGAUAGGGUUAUUAGUGUUCUUGUUUUGCUAAAUUUUGUAUAUUGUUAUCAAGAAAUGAGAAAAUUGAUAGUGUUAUUAGUGUUCUUGUUUUGCUAAAUUUUUUUUAUUGUUAUCAAGAAAUGAGAAGAUUGAUAGUUUUAUUUGUGUUCUUGUUUUGCUAAAUUUUGUAUAUUGUUAUCAAGAAAUGAGAAGAUUGAUAGUGUUAUUAGUGUUCUUAGUGUUCUUAAUUUUGUAUAUUGUUAUCAAGAAAUAGGAAGGUUGAUAGUGUUAUUAGUGUUCUUGUUUUGCUUAAUUUUGUAUAUUGUUAUCAAGAAAUGAGAAGAUUGAUAGUGUUAUUUGUGUGCUUGUUAUUAAGAAACGUUUGACGCUGACCCUUUAGCAAAAUCUCUCAAAAAUGAAAGGCAUUGCCAUGGGGAAUUCUCCAUGGCUUCUAUUUAGUCAAAUAAGAAUAUGGAAUAUCACAACC